CCUGGCUCAGAUUGAACGCUGGCGGCAUGCCUAACACAUGCAAGUCGAACGGCAACAGGUUCUAGUUUACUAGGAUGCUGGCGAGUGGCGAACGGGUGAGUAACGCGUAGGAAUAUGUCUUAAAGAUUGGGACAACUUGGGGAAACUCAAGCUAAUACCGGAUAAUCUCUUAGGAGGAAAGCUGGGGACCUUCGGGCCUGGCGCUUUAAGAUUAGCCU
rnacentral:rRNA from 1 species